GACAGAGGGUGCAAACGUUGUUCGGAAUUACUGGGCGUAAAGCGCGUGUAGGCGGCUAAGUAAGUCGGGCGUGAAAUCCCACGGCUCAACCGUGGAAGUGCACUCGAAACUGCGUAGCUAGAGUCCUGGAGAGGAAGGUGGAAUGCUUGGUGUAGAGGUGAAAUUCGUAGAUAUCAAGCGGAACACCGGUGGCGAAGGCGGCCUUCUGGACAGUGACUGACGCUGAGAUGCGAAAGCGUGGGGAGCAAACAGG
rnacentral:rRNA from 1 species